UACAGAGACCUCAAGCGUUAUCCGGAAUCAUUGGGCGUAAAGCGUUCCGAUCGGUGGUUUGGUAGGUCCGGGGUAAAAUCCAGAGGCUCAACUUCUGGCUUGCCUUGGAAACCUUCAGACUGGAGGAGUAUAGAGGUGCCUGGAACGGACAGUGUAGCGGUGAAAUGCGUUGAUAUUGUCCGGAACACCAAUAGCGAAGGCAGGGCACUGGAUACUUCCUGACACUGCUAGGACGAAAGCGUGGGGAGCGAAUGGG
rnacentral:misc_RNA from 1 species